GAGGGGAGGAGCCGAGCGAGCGGCGGGUGUCCCUGAGAGGCCACCUUUCGACCUUCGAGGGCCAGGAGGAUACGGGGAGGUGGCCGGAGGGAGUUCCCGAACACAGGUCUUCCUGUUCCCGCCGAGCAGGUGUUGGCGGUGCCAGGCCCGGCCUGGCGGGCCCGGGCUGGCAGCCAAAUACCCAGCGUCUGUGCUCGGGACGGGAGUGUUCGUCCAGGACGUGCAGCUCCGGAGCCUGCGCGGGCGACCUUGACCACCUUUGUCGGCUGUUUCCCCCUGAGGGAAGUAUACCUGUCCUGCCAGCCUUGGUCUCUGGCAGGGAAGGUCCUUCCAACAGAGAGGGAAUUGCUUAGAAUUGACUCAACACUGCCUCCUUGCUGAAUGGAUAAUUCAAGCAAACAACUCAAGAGCUGGAUGCUGCCCAGACAGAAGUCCUCCUAGCAUCUUUCUUCUGCCUUCCCCUGCUCCUGUCCCUGAAACCUUUUCUUCAAAAGAAGUGGAAAAGAGGAACUGGGAACCCAUAUAGCAACAGCAUCACCUGGAAUGAAUUCCUUUAGAACAUACUGUCUUGGAAAUCUGAAGCCUGCAGGGCUGGACAGGCAAGAAGAGCAGUGAGCACUGCAUGAACCUAGUCUUGCUGUGUCGCCCAAGCUGGAGUUCAGUGGCACCAUCCUGGCUCACUGCAACUGCUGCCUCCCAGGUUCAAGUGAUUCUCCUGCCUCAGCCUCCCGAGUAGCUGGGAUUACAUGUGCCUGCCACCACGCCUGGCAAGUUUUUGUAUUUUUAGUAGAAAUGGUGUUUUACCAUGUUGGCCAAGACUGGCCUAGAACUCCAGACCUCAAGUGAUCCACCCGCCUCAGCAGCCCAAAGUGGUGGGAUUACAGGCAUGAGCAACUGUGCCUGGCCUAGCCAUUUUCUAUAAACCUGAAAAUAGAUGCCAGAAAAGAAGGUGCCGCUAUAAAAUGCUUUCUUGAGUGAUUUAUGUCUAACAUACAAUUAAACAUUUAUGAGAAGGAAAUUAUCAGGUUAAAAUAUAAACUCACUUGCCAAUUAUUUGAUUUUCAGGAUAUCUGACUUUUGUUAAUUACUGAAAAUAAAGUAUUAUUUCUAAUCACUAUUGGUA
rnacentral:lncRNA from 10 species